GACGAACGCUGGCGGCGUGCUUAACACAUGCAAGUCGAACGAAGUGGCGAACAGGUGAGUAAUACGCGGGUAUCCUGCCCUCCUUUUUGUGAUAAGCCUUGGAAACGGGGUCUAAUACCGAAUAUGGUGGGAUGUGCUCGCGGCCUAUCAGCUUGUUGGUGGGGUGAUGGCGUAUCAAGGCGGUGACGGGUAGCCGGCCCGAGAGGGUGGCCGGCAACAUUGGGACUGAGAUACGGCCCAGACUCCUACGGGAGGCAGCAGUGGGGGAUAUUACACAAUGGGCGAAAGCCUGAUGCAGCGACGCCGCGUGGGGGAUGAAGGCUUUCGGGUUGUAAACUUCUUUCGCUAUCGAAAGGGUAGGUGGAGAAGAAGCGCCGGCUAACUACGUGCCAGCCGCCGCGGUAAUAC
rnacentral:rRNA from 1 species